rnacentral:rRNA from 1 species
UACAGAGGGUGCGAGCGUUAAUCGGAAUUACUGGGCGUAAAGGGUGCGUAGGUGGUGGCAUAAGUUAGGUGUGAAAGUCCUGGGCUUAACCUGGGGAUUGCGCCUAAUACUGUGAGGCUUGAGUAUUGUAGAGGAAAGUGGAAUUUCCGGUGUAGCGGUGAAAUGCGUAGAUAUCGGAAGGAACAUCAGUGGAGAAGGCGUAUUUCUGGACAAAUACUGACACUGAGGCACGAAAGCAUGGGGAGCAAACAGG